UAAGACUCGACCUUGUGACCUGUGUUGUUGAUAACAUGUUAGAUACAUGUACCAUGUCAUUUUCUGACAUGUUGUUCAUCAUAUGCUGAGCCUGUUUGACAUAGAAGUGAAUCGCUGAUUUCAGAGGUACGAGUGUUUCCCAAGAACACAGACCGGAACUGCACACUUAAAACUCGGUACUACUGCAAGUUUCAAAGACAACCUUAUGUGACAACCUUCUUCAGAACUGAAGUAAAAUAACAGUCCACUGUGAAGUGUCUGGACCACCAGGAAGUUAACGGAAGUCAAACACAAUGUCCGAGAUGCAAAAUGGCGACAUUGCUACCAAGAGGAGUGUGUUCAGCCUGCGGCAAUGGGGGAGUACAGGUUGCGAAAGUCAACCCGAUGCCCAGACCUUCUACAGAGACAGCAGGAGCUUCUGUUCAUGACCCUGGUAUUACAAAUGGGCCAAAGGGUAAAGAACCUGCCAGUGAAGACUUCCUGCAAAGGAGAGUAGAUGAAGUGGCGCACACUGAGGAAGAGAAGAUGAAGAAAGAGAUGAAGGGAGAAUUUCGAAAAUCGAUGCAGAUGAAGAUGGCAAAAGAGAGAGAGGAAUUCUUAAUACAACAAGGAAAAACUGCCAUGGAGACGGAAGCUCUAAGACGUGAAGUUGCCGGUCUGAAACUAAAGAACCAACUUUCGGAGUGAACAGUUUAUAAGGAAACAUUUCAGUUACAUAGCACCCUCAAUCAUACAGCGUAUAUCCACAAUGGUGCGAUAUUUACUAUGGGCCCCCUUUGCCACCAAAGCUUCGUUUCGGAAGUGACGUCACUAUCUCCCUCUCUCUUAUCACCAGUUUAGCACAGCAUUCCCUCAGUCCUAAGUGUACUUUGAUUGGACAGCUAUUUUUAGCGAAACGGGUAUCCCCCUGAUAACCAAUCUCUUGUGAGCAUCUACCCCUCUUCAUUGUCCUAAAUGUUACACACAUAGUAAUGCAAAUGUAAAGUUAUUUGUCAAUAAUUCAUCGAUGGCGUAUUCUUUAUACAGUAAACUACGGUUAUAACGAACUCAAAGGGACUACUUAUUUUAGUUCGUUAUAACCGUAGUUCGUUAUAAGUAUAUAUACAGCAUAACUACAGCAAAUAGUCGGGACCAAAAAAAGUAAGUUCGUUAUAUCCGUCAGUUCGUUAUAAGCGUGUUCGUUAUAACCGUAGUUUACUGUAUGUGUAUUGCUUCAUUCAUUGCUAUCUUAUUAUCAUAUAUGUAAUAAAUUUCUUUCGACUGUAUUUGGCCUACUCAUCGUGUUAUCAUAACUCGACCGCCUCCGUGAUCUAGUGAAGAGGGCGUCUGCACGGAUAACGAAAGGUCGGUGAUUCGGUCCCCUGAUCCAGUCAUACCAAAAUACUUUUAAAAAAUAGCACUUGUUGUUACCCUGCCUGCCGCUCGUCAUUAACGGGAUAACACAAGGACUGCUCGGAUGAGAUUCUGUAUAAUGUUUCUGAGUGAGGUGUCCAUGUUAAACUUCGGCAUGGCAUUCCAGUGGGCUAUUAGGGAAAUAAUCUUAAACGCGACGUUAAACCUCACGUAUUAUCUUAAAGGAAUUACUCCUUUACGAGAGUUGGAUCGACAAUGUAGGUUGAGUGGUUAAAUUAAUUGUCUCGUCACACGGGAUCUUGUGAGUAGCGAUUCACGCCAUUGGGGCUAUCAGCCAAUUCAUGGAGCAUGACCAUCCGACCUUCUGUUGUCGACUCUAAGGACCAUCGUGGAAUACAUGUACUAGGGUCCAAUUCUUCUCCUGAAUCGCCAUGCUUGUCGUUGGAGUCGAUCAAAGAGGAUCGUGUGGAUACUGUGUGUGACCUGGCUUCGCGCAUCGAUUGCGAUAGUCGACAUUCAUGUUAUCAACCACUUGUCCGACUUGUCCGCCGCAGAGAUGUAGCUAGAAUGUUGUUGACUACAGCGUAAAUCAACAUCUAUUAAAACAUAAUGUCAUUUACAGCCAAACGGUAAAUACAUGAUAUUAACCACUGGUAUAUCUGUUCCUGAUUCGAGUAUUUACAGGCCGCCGUCGUGUAGCUAUACUAUUGCGGAAACAUACAAACAACAAAUACGUUCGUGAUCAUGCCCAAAACAUGCAAGUGUUUGAAAGAUAGACUAUUCCGGACUAGUACAAGCAGCCACAAAUAUACAUAAACGUACAUGCACGUCGCUAUAUGAAUGUUAUAAUCUUGACGAUUUGGUAUUGACAAAUAAAUAACUUUCAUGCCCUUUAA
rnacentral:misc_RNA from 1 species